UACGUAGGGGGCGAGCGUUGUCCGGAUUUAUUGGGCGUAAAGAGCGUGUAGGCGGCCAGGUAGGUCUGCUGUGAAAACUCGAGGCUCAACCUCGAGACGUCGGCGGAAACCAUCUGGCUAGAGUCCGGAAGAGGAGAGUGGAAUUCCUGGUGUAGCGGUGAAAUGCGCAGAUAUCAGGAGGAACACCAGCGGCGAAGGCGGCGCUCUGGGCCGGAACUGACGCUGAGGAGCGAAAGCGUGGGUAGCAAACAGG
rnacentral:rRNA from 1 species